rnacentral:lncRNA from 1 species
ACGGAGACGCUAGGACCUGGCGGCCGGCGCAGACGGAAGCCAUACCAAGGACCCUGCAGUCUCAAAUGAGAUUCUUGCACGGUUUCCUCUCACGGAGCAUCACUUCCUGUUCAGUCUCCUCCCGCUGAGACUCCUCCCUCUUGGGCCCCAGCAACCGUUCGGAGAAAGGUAAAGCUUUCUUUGCACAUUGACUGAAAGGAGUAUCACUGCCCUCACACUAACAUGCCACACAGAACAGGAAAAUGUUGCUGCCGCGUGGCCAGGAAGCAUGCAAGUGUGACAUCCAGAACUGAGAAACUCGGAGACAUUUGGCGGUUAAUAAUGGAUUUGUAACAGGAUUUAUUGUGUAUAUACACACUCUCUUUAAACUCAGUGUUUUAAAAAUACAAAUUAGUCGAUGAAAACUGAGCAGAAAGG